rnacentral:rRNA from 1 species
UACGUAGGGGGCUAGCGUUGUCCGGAUUUAUUGGGCGUAAAGAGCGUGUAGGCGGCCAGGUAGGUCUGCUGUGAAAACUCGAGGCUCAACCCUCGAGACGUCGGCGGAAACCAUCUGGCUAGAGUCCGGAAGAGGAGAGUGGAAUUCCUGGUGUAGCGGUGAAAGUGCGCAGAUAUCAGGAAGAACACCCGUGGCGAAGGCGGCCUCUCUGGGACGGUACUGACGCUGAGACGCGAAAGCGUGGGGAGCGAACAGG